rnacentral:rRNA from 1 species
GGUUAAGUUAGAAAGGGCGCACGGUGGAUGCCUUGACACUAGGAGUCGAUGAAGGACGGGACUAACGCCGAUAUGCUUCGGGGAGCUGUAAGUAAGCUUUGAUCCGAAGAUUUCCGAAUGGGGAAACCCACCAUACGUAAUGGUAUGGUAUCCUUAUCUGAAUACAUAGGGUAAGGAAGACAGACCCAGGGAACUGAAACAUCUAAGUACCUGGAGGAAGAGAAAGCAAAUGCGAUUUCCUGAGUAGCGGCGAGCGAAACGGAACAUAGCCCAAACCAAGAGGCUUGCCUCUUGGGGUUGUAGGACAUUCUAUACGGAGUUACAAAGGAACGAGGUAGACGAAGCGACCUGGAAAGGUCCGUCGUAGAGGGUAACAACCCCGUAGUCGAAACUUCGUUCUCUCUUGAAUGUAUCCUGAGUACGGCGGAACACGUGAAAUUCCGUCGGAAUCUGGGAGGACCAUCUCCCAAGGCUAAAUACUCCCUAGUGAUCGAUAGUGAACCAGUACCGUGAGGGAAAGGUGAAAAGCACCCCGGAAGGGGAGUGAAAGAGAUCCUGAAACCGUGUGCCUACAAAUAGUCAGAGCCCGUUAAUGGGUGAUGGCGUGCCUUUUGUAGAAUGAACCGGCGAGUUACGAUCCCGUGCGAGGUUAAGCUGAAGAGGCGGAGCCGCAGCGAAAGCGAGUCUGAAUAGGGCGUUUAGUACGUGGUCGUAGACCCGAAACCAGGUGAUCUACCCAUGUCCAGGGUGAAGUUCAGGUAACACUGAAUGGAGGCCCGAACCCACGCACGUUGAAAAGUGCGGGGAUGAGGUGUGGGUAGCGGAGAAAUUCCAAUCGAACCUGGAGAUAGCUGGUUCUCCCCGAAAUAGCUUUAGGGCUAGCCUUAAGUGUAAGAGUCUUGGAGGUAGAGCACUGAUUGGACUAGGGGUCCUCAUCGGAUUACCGAAUUCAGUCAAACUCCGAAUGCCAAUGACUUAUCCUUAGGAGUCAGACUGCGAGUGAUAAGAUCCGUAGUCAAAAGGGAAACAGCCCAGACCGCCAGCUAAGGUCCCAAAGUGUGUAUUAAGUGGAAAAGGAUGUGGAGUUGCUUAGACAACUAGGAUGUUGGCUUAGAAGCAGCCACCAUUUAAAGAGUGCGUAAUAGCUCACUAGUCGAGUGACUCUGCGCCGAAAAUGUACCGGGGCUAAAUACACCACCGAAGCUGCGGAUUGAUACCGAAUGGUAUCAGUGGUAGGGGAGCGUUCUAAGGACAGUGAAGUCAGACCGUAAGGACUGGUGGAGUGCUUAGAAGUGAGAAUGCCGGUAUGAGUAGCGAAAGACGGGUGAGAAUCCCGUCCACCGAAUGCCUAAGGUUUCCUGAGGAAGGCUCGUCCGCUCAGGGUUAGUCAGGACCUAAGCCGAGGCCGACAGGCGUAGGCGAUGGACAACAGGUUGAUAUUCCUGUACCACCUCUUUAUCGUUUGAGCAAUGGAGGGACGCAGAAGGAUAGAAGAAGCGUGCGAUUGGUUGUGCACGUCCAAGCAGUUAGGCUGAUAAGUAGGCAAAUCCGCUUAUCGUUAAGGCUGAGCUGUGAUGGGGAAGCUCCUUAUGGAGCGAAGUCUUUGAUUCCCCGCUGCCAAGAAAAGCUUCUAGCGAGAUAAAAGGUGCCUGUACCGCAAACCGACACAGGUAGGCGAGGAGAGAAUCCUAAGGUGUGCGAGAGAACUCUGGUUAAGGAACUCGGCAAAAUGACCCCGUAACUUCGGGAGAAGGGGUGCUUUCUUAACGGAAAGCCGCAGUGAAUAGGCCCAAGCGACUGUUUAGCAAAAACACAGCUCUCUGCGAAGCCGUAAGGCGAAGUAUAGGGGGUGACACCUGCCCGGUGCUGGAAGGUUAAGGAGAGGGGUUAGCGUAAGCGAAGCUCUGAACUGAAGCCCCAGUAAACGGCGGCCGUAACUAUAACGGUCCUAAGGUAGCGAAAUUCCUUGUCGGGUAAGUUCCGACCCGCACGAAAGGUGUAACGAUUUGGGCACUGUCUCAACCAGAGACUCGGUGAAAUUAUAGUACCUGUGAAGAUGCAGGUUACCCGCGACAGGACGGAAAGACCCCGUGGAGCUUUACUGUAGCCUGAUAUUGAAUUUUGGUACAUUUUGUACAGGAUAGGCGGGAGCCUUUGAAACCGGAGCGCUAGCUUCGGUGGAGGCGCUGGUGGGAUACCGCCCUGAAUGUAUUGAAAUUCUAACCUACGGGUCUUAUCGACCCGGGAGACAGUGUCAGGUGGGCAGUUUGACUGGGGCGGUCGCCUCCUAAAGUGUAACGGAGGCGCCCAAAGGUUCCCUCAGAAUGGUUGGAAAUCAUUCGUAGAGUGCAAAGGCAUAAGGGAGCUUGACUGCGAGACCUACAAGUCGAGCAGGGACGAAAGUCGGGCUUAGUGAUCCGGUGGUUCCGCAUGGAAGGGCCAUCGCUCAACGGAUAAAAGCUACCCCGGGGAUAACAGGCUUAUCUCCCCCAAGAGUCCACAUCGACGGGGAGGUUUGGCACCUCGAUGUCGGCUCAUCGCAUCCUGGGGCUGUAGUCGGUCCCAAGGGUUGGGCUGUUCGCCCAUUAAAGCGGUACGCGAGCUGGGUUCAGAACGUCGUGAGACAGUUCGGUCCCUAUCCGUCGUGGGCGUAGGAAAUUUGAGAGGAGCUGUCCUUAGUACGAGAGGACCGGGAUGGACGCACCGCUGGUGUACCAGUUGUUCUGCCAAGGGCAUAGCUGGGUAGCUAUGUGCGGAAGGGAUAAGUGCUGAAAGCAUCUAAGCAUGAAGCCCCCCUCAAGAUGAGAUUUCCCAUAGCGUAAGCUAGUAAGAUCCCUGAAAGAUGAUCAGGUUGAUAGGUUCGAGGUGGAAGCAUGGUGACAUGUGGAGCUGACGAAUACUAAUAGAUCGAGGACUUAACCAU